UGCACACUCUAGGGUUGUUGCUGUGUGUUACCUGAUUUUCUCCUCCCUCAUCCACUCACCUUUUUCCAUAUUUGCUUUGUCCUUUUGACAUUUGCUUGUCUCUUAACUUCUGCAGGCACAUUUACCCAUCUCAUUCUUAAAUUAAAGGGCCACUCCAAGGUUCUGUAGUGAUUAUAGUAUUAUUGUUGCCCCCACAAUGUACGUAAUUAAAACACUUUUAGAACGGCUUAGCUUUUUACCUGGGGUUUGCCUCUGCAGGGCUUUGCUCAUUGGCUGAAAGUGAUCAGCUGACCCUGCACUGCUGGCUUGGCUCAGGAGAGCUAACAAAAGCUCCUAAGCAGGGGCCUCAUCGCUCUCUUUGAGCUGUAGUAAAGAGAAGAGGGGAACUGUGUCUUGUGGACCCCAAGUAAG